rnacentral:rRNA from 1 species
GAUGAACGCUGGCGGCGUGCCUAAUACAUGCAAGUCGAGCGAACAGACGAGGAGCUUGCUCCUCUGACGUUAGCGGCGGACGGGUGAGAAACACGUGGAUAACCUACCUAUAAGACUGGGAUAACUUCGGGAAACCGGAGCUAAUACCGGAUAAUAUAUUGAACCGCAUGGUUCAAUAGUGAAAGACGGUUUUGCUGUCACUUAUAGAUGGAUCCGCGCCGCAUUAGCUAGUUGGUAAGGUAACGGCUUACCAAGGCGACGAUGCGUAGCCGACCUGAGAGGGUGAUCGGCCACACUGGAACUGAGACACGGUCCAGACUCCUACGGGAGGCAGCAGUAGGGAAUCUUCCGCAAUGGCGAAAGCCUGACGGAGCAACGCCGCGUGAGUGAUGAAGGUCUUCGGAUCGUAAAACUCUGUUAUUAGGGAAGAACAAAUGUGUAAGUAACUAUGCACGUCUUGACGGUACCUAAUCAGAAAGCCACGGCUAACUACGUG